GAGCGGCGAACGGGUGAGUAACACGUGAGCAACCUGCCCUAGGCUUUGGGAUAACCCUCGGAAACGGGGGCUAAUACCGAAUAGGACCUCCUGUCGCAUGGUGGGGGGUGGAAAGUUUUUCGGCCUGGGAUGGGCUCGCGGCCUAUCAGCUUGUUGGUGGGGUGAUGGCCUACCAAGGCGACGACGGGUAGCCGGCCUGAGAGGGCGACCGGCCACACUGGGACUGAGACACGGCCCAGACUCCUACGGGAGGCAGCAGUGGGGAAUAUUGCACAAUGGGCGGAAGCCUGAUGCAGCGACGCCGCGUGAGGGAUGACGGCCUUCGGGUUGUAAACCUCUUUCAGCAGGGACGAAGCGCAAGUGACGGUACCUGCAGAAGAAGCGCCGGCCAACUACGUGCCAGCAGCCCGCGGUAAGACGUAGGGCGCGAGCGUUGUCCGGAUUUAUUGGGCGUAAAGAGCUCGUAGGCGGCUUGUCGCGUCGACUGUGAAAACCCGCAGCUCAACUGCGGGCCCUGCAAGUCGAUACGGGCAGGCUAGAGUUCGGUAGGGGAGACUGGNAAUUNCCU
rnacentral:rRNA from 1 species